GCGGAUGUAGUUCAGUGGUAGAACGUCAGCUUCCCAAGCUGAAUGUCGUGGGUUCGAGUCCCAUCAUCCGCU
rnacentral:tRNA from 12 species